UUUACCAAAACAAAUUCCCCAAAAUACACAAAAAAAUAAAAAUAGAAAAACACGCGUCAUUCUUCUGCGCGAGCUUCAUCCUUCACCGUUUUCAUCCUUCAACAUUCAUCCUUCAAUGUGAACUCAGUUUUCUCUCCUUCGUUCACAAUCAACAGUGAUGGGAACCAAGAGUUACACUUACAUGGGACGCUGUUUCAACGAAUUCACAAUCAACGACGACUCCACUUCUUCUGCUUUCAGCUACUGUAACAACGAUAGAUCUGGCGAAUUCGCCACCACUUUUUCACAAUCCCGAGGACUCCUCAUAUCUUGUGCUUCCGAAAAUUCCGAUGAUGUCAUCCUUCAACUUGUUUCUGAUCUUCCCUCUUCUUCAAUCGAAGACCAGAAACAAGUCGCCAUAGAAAUUUGAUUACUAACUAUAAAUAAACUAGAAAAUCGAAUCACAAUCGCAAAAGUUGGCGCAAUUAAAUCAUUAAUUUCACUCGUUUCUUCGCAAGAUCUUCAACUUAGAGAAUACGACAUUACUGCAAUUUUGAAUCUCUCUUUAUGCGACGAGAAUAAAGAGCUAAUAGCUUCUUCUGGAGCGAUUAAGCCUCUUGUUAGAGCCUUAAACUCAGGAACUUCGACGCAACAUUUUUUUAGUUGUGUGUUGACGAAGAAUUUUUUGUCUUCCUCUAGUGUAUUUUCUAUCAAGUUGAACAUAUAAUUACCUUGACCAUUACAAUACUAAACUAGCUUUUACAUUUACUUCUGUUGAUUGAUUUUGAAAAUUAAACAUGCCACAUAUUUCAAGGAAAAGUAUGGUGUGUGAGUAGAUGUAGAAUUUAAUAUGCUUAUAUUAGGUCUAUUUUGUUACAGAAUAAAAUUAGUGCUGCUGCAUUUGGAAUGCUUACAUUUUGUUUUUGUCUCUCAUAUACUCUUGUAGCUUUGAUAUUGAAAUUUGAAGGGCACAAUGUUCCCCUUGAGGAAGCGUUGAUUCUAAAGGAAUGAUGGGGUCUGGGAUGACAACUGUGGGUAAGAUUAUAUUGCAAGUGCUUAGCUAUUCAUUUUGUGAUUGUUUGGAGUCUUGUGACCAAUAUGGCCAUAUGAACUUAUGAUUCAGGAAGCAAUGGAUGUUGGUCAAUCUUUCACAUCCAUUAAGGGAUAUAAUCUUGAUGGGAACAGAGAAAUGUUGUCAAUGGGAAUCAUGAACAUUGCUGGAUCCUUAACUUCAUGUUAUGUGGCAACUGGUUCUUUUUCAAGGACAACAAUUAAUUAUAGUGCAGGAUGUCAAACUGCAGUCUCAAAUAUUGUGAUGGCCAGUACUGUGAAUUUGUUCCUGCAAUUAUUUGCAAUACUACACCCCUAUGGCUAUCCUUGCUGCUAUCAUCCUCUCUGCACUUCCUGGAUUAAUCGAUGUAAAUGAGGUUCGCUAUAUCUGGAAGGUUGACACGUUAGACUUUCUUGCCUGUAUUGGAGCUUUCGUUGGCGUCUUGUUUGCAUAUGUAGAGAUUGGUCUUCUUGUAGCUGUGAAAAUCUCAUUUGCAAAGAUACUAAUACAAUCAAUUCGACCUGGAGUAGAAAUUCUAGGUAGAGUUCCAAGAACAUAAGUCUUCUGUGAUAGUAACUUAAUAUCCGAUAGUUGUAAGCAUGCCAGACAUCAUAGUGAUUCGCAUAAGUUUCGUCUCACUCUGCUUUGCAAAUGCCAAUUUUGUCAAAGAAAGGCAAACACUUAACAAAUGAUCUAAAAAGGGGUUUAGCCCUAAUAAUAGCUACAUAUGAACUUUUUUUCACUUGUUCUAGAAUACUUUUUUCACUUUUUAUAGCUGUAUUGCUAGAACUUCUACAUAUUUAUUUACAUCCAGAUUCUACUACCUACCGUUUUUGUGAGAAAUUGAAGGAUAAAAGAUGUGUAUUGUAUUCUCUAGUUUAUAGAGAUAUUUCUUGGAUACAAAUAUGCUAUUAAUGUCAAUAGUAUCAUUUAUAAGCAUUUAUGUUGUCAA